rnacentral:lncRNA from 1 species
UUCUGAAUUAAUUGGGCUCGAUUGUCUUUGUGCCUUUUUCUUUCUGUUGGUUUCCACGGUCGGUCAGUCUAGCGAGAACGCUCCUUGACAGGGCGUCGUGGUGUUGAAAAAGUUGUCGGAGCCAAGAGAUGGGGAAGAGAGAGAAGCCCUACACAUCGAAAUGGGAGAGCACGAUGCUAAUUACGUGUUUACGUGGAUGAGGCAGGGUUAAAAACCCAGCUUGCUGAGUGAACAAAAGCA